rnacentral:rRNA from 2 species
GGACUACUGGGGUAUCUAAUCCUGUUUGAUCCCCACGCUUUCGUGCCUCAGUGUCAAUACAGGCCUGGUGAACUGCCUUCGCAAUCGGUGUUCUAUUACAUCUCUAAGCAUUUCACCGCUACAUGUAAUAUUCCAUCCACCUCGACCUGAUUCAAGCUAAGCAGUAUCAAUGGCAGUUCCGGAGUUAAGCUCCGGGCUUUCACCACUGACUUACAAAGCCACCUACGCACCCUUUAAACCCAGUGAAUCCGGAUAACGCUUGCACCCUCCGUAUUACCGCGGCUGCUGGCAC